UCUGGAGCCGAGGCGCGCGCUUUGCUCCUGCCGCUUGCGGGCUGGUCGUGGCGGCUCAGCCCAGGGUGCCACGUGAAACGGGUCCUGCAAGAAAGCUGAACGGAUUCUGGCCACCCGCUCCAAGAGAAGUUGUUUCCAUUCUUCAUUGGCUUUGGGACAUGAUCUUCGAGAGGUUGGAACAGUAUAACAUUUCCUGUACCAUUGGCUGCCACACAACCUCAAAAGAACCACUCCAGGCCUAAUGAUUGGCAAGGUUCUUUUCUUCAAAUGUUUCCCUCCUUUUUCUCCAGAUGUAGCUUAUGACUUUCCACUCUGGAAGACUGCUGAUUUGAAAGAGGAGUCAAAGAGGGCAUCUACAUUAAGAUUGAAUAGGCUUCUCCCAACAGAGGGCGAGUGAUUCAACACCACCCAUCUCCUGUUUACAACAUAGUCCUUUCAGCAGUUCCAAGAAAGUUCCACAUCCAUUUGCACUAUUCAGGUGACCCUGCAAGCACAGAUAAACCCCCAAGUGGCCUCAACGACUCUCAGAAAGA